rnacentral:rRNA from 1 species
CCUACGGGAGGCAGCAGUGGGGAAUAUUGCGCAAUGGGCGAAAGCCUGACGCAGCGACGCCGCGUGAGGGAUGACGGCCUUCGGGUUGUAAACCUCUUUCAGCAGGGAAGAAGCGAAAGUGACGGUACCUGCAGAAGAAGCACCGGCUAACUACGUGCCAGCAGCCGCGGUAAUACGUAGGGUGCGAGCGUUGUCCGGAAUUAUUGGGCGUAAAGAGCUCGUAGGCGGCCUGUCGCGUCGGAUGUGAAAACUCGGGGCUUAACCCCGAGCCUGCAUUCGAUACGGGCAGGCUAGAGUUCGGCAGGGGAGACUGGAAUUCCUGGUGUAGCGGUGAAAUGCGCAGAUAUCAGGAGGAACACCGGUGGCGAAGGCGGGUCUCUGGGCCGAUACUGACGCUGAGGAGCGAAAGCGUGGGGAGCGAACAGGAUUAGAUACCCUGGUAGUCCACGCCGUAAACGUUGGGAACUAGGUGUGGGCGACAUUCCACGUCGUCCGUGCCGCAGCUAACGCAUUAAGUUCCCCGCCUGGGGAGUACGGCCGCAAGGCUAAAACUCAAAGGAAUUGACGG